ACAUAAUGUCAUGUAUUGUAUAGUUGCAAAGCAACAUUAUCAACUGAAAUUGGUUCAGUUUUGGUUUAUUCGAUAGCGAUGGUUUAUCGUUGCUUAUAGAUAUACAUUAAAUUCCUGUCUAUGGCCUACCUUCCCAACUUCCCACCUACAAUAACGCCUGCACCCACGUGCGAAGUAUGGCCGUUCUUUCAUUAAAAUUACCGUUUUAAGAUGAAAUAAUAAUUUAACCAAGAUAAGUUAAUACAUUUUUAAAAUAAAUAACAACCUAAUAAUAAUAAAUAUAAUAGAAAAAUUACAAAAUUAAUAACAACAAUAAUAGUAAUACUAUUUAUACAUUUUAUUUACAUACCUUUUUGUAUAAGAUAUUUAUGAUGUUUUAAUCUAUUACUUACCACUAUGAUAGAAUCGUAUUAGUAUUAUUUAUUAUGAUAUGGACUAUAGAUAAUAUAUUUUGAACUUCACGUAAUAACCACUUUGACUUUUAUUCUUUUUCACAGUGCUACCGAGUCAAUACGAUUUCUAUAACUUUUUAACAAAAAUAUUUUAUGAAUAUAUAUAUAUAUCUUCUUUUUUUUUUUUAAGAAAACGAAUACGCUAGGGAAUAUAUAUUAUGGAUCAUCCUUGGACUAGUUUUUUUUUAUUAUAAAUAAUUUAAUUACAUCCCCAAGUUAGAUGAACAAAAUAAUAUUUCAUUAUUGAUACCUACCUACCCACCCACUAACAUUAUAAAGUGACCGUAUACCUAGGUUCUCGUGUCGUGAACGCACGCGAAAAUAUCGAGUUCAAUAAUGACAUCUAUAAACUAUAUGUAUAUAAUAUGUAUGAUGAUUUAUAUAUUUAGUCCUUAGGAUAGCUUUUAAAUGGUAAAGUACUUAAAUAUAUAGAUCGUUUAAUAUGACCUCGAAGAGACCAAAAAUACAAUAAUUAUAUCUUAGCCGGUAUU